AUUGAACGCUGGCGGCAUGCCUUACACAUGCAAGUCGAACGGCAGCACGGACUUCGGUCUGGUGGCGAGUGGCGAACGGGUGAGUAAUGUAUCGGAACGUACCUUUCAGUGGGGGAUAACGUAGCGAAAGUUACGCUAAUACCGCAUAAUCUGUGAGCAGGAAAGCAGGGGAUCGAAAGACCUUGCGCUGAUUGAGCGGCCGAUAUCAGAUUAGCUAGUUGGUGGGGUAAAGGCCUACCAAGGCGACGAUCUGUAGCGGGUCUGAGAGGAUGAUCCGCCACACUGGAACUGAGACACGGUCCAGACUCCUACGGGAGGCAGCAGUGGGGAAUUUUGGACAAUGGGGGCAACCCUGAUCCAGCCAUGCCGCGUGAGUGAAGAAGGCCUUCGGGUUGUAAAGCUCUUUCGGCCGGGAAGAAAUCGCAUAGGCUAAUACCCUGUGUGGAUGACGGUACCGGAAGAAGAAGCACCGGCUAACUACGUG
rnacentral:rRNA from 1 species